rnacentral:rRNA from 1 species
AACGAACGCUGGCGGCAUGCCUAACACAUGCCAGUCGAGCGAGACCUUCGGGUCUAGUGGCGCACGGGUGCGUAACGCGUGGGAACCUGCCCUUAGGUUCGGAAUAACUCCCCGAAAGGGGUGCUAAUACCGGAUAAUGUCUUCGGACCAAAGAUUUAUCGCCUUUGGAUGGGCCCGCGUUGGAUUAGCUAGUUGGUAGGGUAAAAGCCUACCAAGGCGACGAUCCAUAGCUGGUCUGAGAGGAUGAUCAGCCACACUGGGACUGAGACACGGCCCAGACUCCUACGGGAGGCAGCAGUGGGGAAUAUUGGACAAUGGGCGAAAGCCUGAUCCAGCAAUGCCGCGUGAGUGAUGAAGGCCUUAGGGUUGUAAAGCUCUUUUACCCGGGAUGAUGAUGACAGUACCGGGAGAAUAAGCUCCGGCUAACUCCGUG